rnacentral:rRNA from 1 species
CUAACAAGGAUUCCCUUAGUAACGGCGAGUGAAGCGGGAUGAGCUCAAAUUUGUAAUCUGGCGGCCUUUGGCCGUCCGAGUUGUAGUCUGGAGAAGCGUCUUCCGCGUCGGACCGUGUACAAGUCCCUUGGAACAGGGCGUCGUAGAGGGUGAGAAUCCCGUCUUUGACACGGACUGCCGAUGCUUUGCGAUGCGCUCUCAAAGAGUCGAGUUGUUUGGGAAUGCAGCUCAAAACGGGUGGUAAAUUCCAUCUAAAGCUAAAUAUGGGCGAAAGACCGAUAGCGAACAAGUACCGUGAGGGAAAGAUGAAAAGCACUUUGGAAAGAGAGUUAAACAGUACGUGAAAUUGUUGAAAGGGAAACGCUUGAAGUCAGUCGCGUCUCCUGGGACUCAGCCUUGCUUCCGCUUGGUGUACUUCCUGGGGCGACGGGCCAGCAUCGAUUUUGACCGUCGGAGAAAGGCCUUGGGAACGUGGCACCCUUUGGGUGUGUUAUAGCCCUCGGUCGUAUGCGACGGUUGGGAUUGAGGACCGCAGCACGCCUUUUUGGCCGGGUUCGCCCACGCACGUGCUUAGGAUGCUGGCGUAAUGGCUUUAAGCGACCCGUCUU